UACGUAGGGUGCGAGCGUUGUCCGGAAUUAUUGGGCGUAAAGAGCUCGUAGGCGGUGUGUCACGUCGUCCGUGAAAACCUGCAGCUUAACUGUGGGUCUGCGGUGGAUACGGGCAGGCUAGAGGCAGGUAGGGGAGAACGGGAUUCCCGGUGUAGCGGUGAAAUGCGCAGAUAUCGGGAGGAACACCGGUGGCGAAGGCGGUUCUCUGGGCCUGUACUGACGCUGAGGAGCGAAAGCGUGGGGAGCGAACAGG
rnacentral:rRNA from 1 species